rnacentral:lncRNA from 1 species
GAUAAAUUUUUCAUUUAGAUGAAGCCACAGCUAUUAAGAAGACGGUUACCAGGAGAAUGAAAAGACUCAAAGGCAGAUUGUUUCUGGAGGAGGCAGGGCGAGCAUACUUCGCUGUGUUGGCUCACCUUCACACUAAAGAAUACAGUUGCACAGCCCCUGACUCCCUCAGCCAGAGAAAGCACCUCAUAAACAGGCUGGCAUGCAUGUCCAACCAGGUCAGUAGCAAAACAAAUAUGCUCCUUUCUCGCCUUAGCUGGAAGUAGGCUGGGGCUAAAGUUAAAAGUCACUGCAAGACAUGUCACUGCACUUGUAAUCAGUGGAAAGACUUACAGUAUUAAAAUCAGAUCUAAUGGAGAAAUGGCAAAUACAUUAAUAAAUAAAAUAAAGAAACAAACAAAACGUCUCAGUAAGCCUCCUCCUCCUCCCUAAAGAGCAGCUCGCUUCAGCAGCCCAUGCUAAAGCGUUGCUUUACAUUCUGGAACUCAGUUCAAAAUGUGAGUAAUUUUGCAUUCUGUUUCACAUUGACAAAGUUGUUCUUUCCUGCUACUUAUUUAUAAUUUAAUUCCCUCGAUGGUUCUAAA